rnacentral:rRNA from 1 species
CCUACGGGAGGCAGCAGUGAGGAAUAUUGGUCAAUGGGCGCGAGCCUGAACCAGCCACGUAGCGUGAAGGAUGACUGCCCUACGGGUUGUAAACUUCUUUUAUAACGGAAUAAAGUGAGGCACGUGUGCCUCUUUGUAUGUAUUUUAUGAAUAAGGAUCGGCUAACUCCGUGCCAGCAGCCGCGGUAAUACGGAGGAUCCGAGCGUUAUCCGGAUUUAUUGGGUUUAAAGGGAGCGUAGAUGGGUUGUUAAGUCAGUUGUGAAAGUUUGCGGCUCAACCGUAGAAUUGCAAUUGAUACUGGCAGUCUUGAGGACAGUUGAGGUAGGCGGAAUUCGUGGUGUAGCGGUGAAAUGCUUAGAUAUCACGAAGAACCCCGAUUGCGAAGGCAGCUUACUAAACUGUGACUGACAUUGAUGCUCGAAAGUGUGGGUAUCAAACAGGAUUAGAUACCCCAGUAGUC